UCUGGCUGUGUGGCCUCAAGCAAGUCAUUUACCCUUUCUGAAUUUCUGUUUCCUUAUCCAUAAGAAUGAAAACAACCAUCACCAAAAAUGUGUGAGAGCUUAAUUGGUAAGUGAUGUUGUUAAACAAAUGUUCUUUGGAUCCGAACUGGAGGAAAAUCAACCUCAGGAGACAAAAUGGUAUUGUCUUUGAAGAUAUCCACAUAUAAAGGACUCUUCACCCCACUGACAGCCCUGAAGAUGAGGAACAUAAAUCUGCCCAUGGAGUCUCCAUCUGACCUCCUCAAAGGUUCCCACUGUUGUCAGGAUAUCACCUGGACCUCCACAGUGCUUUGCAGUUCAUAAAGAAAAUCCAGAGCCCAGGAAAAGAAGGCUGACAUGAGGAAAUGGAGAUCACAAGAAUGACAGUAAGUGCACUCAGAAGGGAGUAAAGGCACAGGGUGGAGAGGAGAUGGGGGUUAUGAUUAGAAAAGCCACUUGCAAUCAAUUAAAAAACACCAACAAAUGACAAUGGUAUAACUAGUCAAUAAAAUGUAAUCAUAAAUACA
rnacentral:lncRNA from 1 species